rnacentral:rRNA from 1 species
GUCGGGAAUAUUGCGCAAUGGAGGAAACUCUGACGCAGUGACGCCGCGUGCAGGAAGAAGGUUUUCGGAUUGUAAACUGCUUUAGACAGGGAAGAAAAAGACAGUACCUGUAGAAUAAGCUCCGGCUAACUACGUGCCAGCAGCCGCGGUAAUACGUAGGGAGCAAGCGUUAUCCGGAUUUAUUGGGUGUAAAGGGUGCGUAGACGGGAAAAUAAGUUAGUUGUGAAAUCCCCAUGCUUAACAUGGGAACUGCAACUAAAACUGUUUUUCUUGAGUGCUGGAGAGGAAAGUGGAAUUCCUAGUGUAGCGGUGAAAUGCGUAGAUAUUAGGAGGAACACCAGUGGCGAAGGCGACUUUCUGGACAGUAACUGACGUUGAGGCACGAAAGUGUGGGGAGCAAACAGGAUUAGAAACCCCUGUAGUCC